rnacentral:rRNA from 1 species
ACGCCACACAUGGCCGCACCGCAUAUUCGCACGCGCACCGCUUCCAGAACCUUCCAUCCCCAAAGCGGCCACUGCUACGGCUACUCCCCAGUCCCCACCCCGCCCCGCCACCUACCUACCAGGCUACCACCCUCCCUCCUCCGCCGCCGCUGCCUUCCUGCGCGGCGCACCCAUCGCCCUCGCCGGUCAGAUUCCGUCCGCGGCGCGCGGAGAUCUCGCCGGGGUCACGGUGAUCACGCCCGCGACGUGUCUCUCCGCGUCUCUCUUCCCUGCUUCAAUCCGCCUCCCCCAGCGCUGCUGCUGCUAGCUGCUAGCUGCUAGGCGUGCCUCGUCACGGGACCAGGCCGCCCAUUCCCCCCCGCCCUUUUGUCACGCGCAAGCCGUGCCCACUUGCGCCAGCCACAUCAAGGCUUGCACGGGCGAAAAACCCCUGUCACAAGGCGCGGUCCUCGAUCGGCGGUGGGCUCUGCCGCUGCCAUGAGCCACCGGAUGAUGAUGAGUCCGGUGAAGGUGGAGGGCCGCCGCUGCCCCGACCCCGACCCGGCGGCGGCCGCAGGCGGAGGGGCGCCGAGGCCGAUGGACGGGCUGGGCGACGCCGGGCCCACGCCGUUCCUCGCCAAGACCUACGACAUGGUCGACGACCCCGCCACCGACGCCGUCGUCUCCUGGACCGCCACCAGCAACAGCUUCGUCGUCUGGGACCCGCACCUCUUCGCCACCCUGCUGCUGCCGAGGUACUUCAAGCACAGCAACUUCUCCAGCUUCGUCCGGCAGCUCAACACCUAUUUCAUACAAUACUAAAGGAUGAAGAUGAAGAGCAAAGUUGACAAAUAAAGUGAAGAACUGAAAUCAGCAAAUGUAAAAUGUAUGAAGAUGAAGAUGAAGAGGAAAGUUGACAAAUAAAGUGAAGAACUGAAACCAGCAAACUGAAAAAUGUAUCAUGAGAACUGAAACUUGUCAUAAAGAGGGCUUCAGAAAGGUGGAUCCUGACAGGUGGGAAUUUGCAAAUGAGGGAUUCUUGCGAGGGCAGAGGCACCUCCUCAGAAAUAUUAAGCGCCGGAAACCUACACAUGGGUCUCAGAAUCAGCAAUCUCUUGGCUCUUACCUUGAGGUGGGGAACUUUGGACAUGACGUGGAGAUAGAUCAUUUGAAAAGGGACAAGCAGCUCUUGAUGGCUGAAGUGGUGAAGCUCAGACAGGAGCAACAGAACACAAGGUCAGAUCUGCAAGCCAUGGAAAAGAGGCUGCAAGGAACCGAGCAGAAGCAACAGCAGAUGAUGUCAUUCUUGGCGCGAGUCAUGCAGAAUCCCAUGUUCAUACGCCAGCUGAUCUCCCAGAGUGAGAUGAGGAAGGAGCUUGAAGAUGCCAUCUCAAAUAAAAGACGGCGCCGCAUCGACCAAGGACCUGAAGCUGUCGAUGGCAUGGGCACUGGCUCUACCCUGGAACAAGGGUCACAGGUAAUGUUUGAGAAGCAGGAGCCAGUGGACUCGCUCGUGAACGGUGUCAUAUCCGAUCUUGAAAGCUCGUCCGUCGACACAAAGGGAGCUGAGGUGCAGCAGAGUGUCGCUUCCAGCCGUUCGGAGCAACUGAGAGGCAGGCCCAGUGGAGAGCUAAAUGAUGAUUUCUGGGAGGACCUGCUGCAUGAAGGGGGGCUCGGCGAGGAGGCCAGCAACCUUGUGGUUCCAGAUGACAUGAACUUGUUGGCUCAGAAGAUGGACUAGCUCCACUUGAAGAACACAAAGUCUGGACAGUAAUCCAUCGCCGAGCAGCCCCGAGAAUCCUUACCAGCAAGCCUGUUGUUAUAUAUGUGUAUAUAUAUGUCCAUGUCGGCCAUGAUCAGUCAGUCGAGUAGAUCACUGCCGCCUUUGGUGAUGAUGCUACCAUAUUAUCUUGGUGUCGGUCUUAUUUUCGUCAUUGCCGUGUUUAGUUCAGCUUUCGGGAGGAUUCUAUUUGGUAUCAGUUAUUUCUGCUAGCUACUGUCGGUCUAACGAACUGCAGUGUUUCUGCUAGCUCGUGUGUAUUGGCAUUGUCAGUAUCAGUAUGAGAAAUAAAUAGAAGAGUACCCAGUAUAUAGCACGUAUAUCUGCAGUGACUGUAUCUGGAUGAUAUCGAUGUACAGUAUCCUGUUGUGUCUAUGUAUAAUGUACCCCUUAUUACCAUGUAUUUUAGGCAACUGUACUUGUUUGCUUACUUUCGGAGGCUUUGUGCUGUAUCAUGUGUUCCCCACUAAGGAAUUCGUACCUAAAUUUCCU